AGUGAACGCUGGCGGUAGGCCUAACACAUGCAAGUCGAACGGCAGCACAGUAAGAGCUUGCUCUUACGGGUGGCGAGUGGCGGACGGGUGAGGAAUACAUCGGAAUCUACUUUUUCGUGGGGGAUAACGUAGGGAAACUUACGCUAAUACCGCAUACGACCUACGGGUGAAAGCAGGGGAUCUUCGGACCUUGCGCGAUUGAAUGAGCCGAUGUCGGAUUAGCUAGUUGGCGGGGUAAAGGCCCACCAAGGCGACGAUCCGUAGCUGGUCUGAGAGGAUGAUCAGCCACACUGGAACUGAGACACGGUCCAGACCCCUACGGGAGGCAGCAGUGGGGAAUAUUGGACAAUGGGCGCAAGCCUGAUCCAGCCAUACCGCGUGGGUGAAGAAGGCCUUCGGGUCGUAAAGCCCUUUUGUUGGGAAAGAAAAGCAGCAGGUUAAUACCCCGCUGUUCCGACGGUACCCAAAGAAUAAGCACCGGCUAACUUCGUG
rnacentral:rRNA from 1 species